rnacentral:lncRNA from 1 species
ACAUUCAGAUGAACUGAAUUUUGAUACAUUGGGUAAAUGCUUCAAUUUAAGUUGGAAUUAGGAUGGAUAAGCAUGGCUGAGGUUGGGUUGCUAUUUUCUAUCAUUUGAAAAGUUUACUAUAAAGUAAAGGGGAUACUACUUUCAGAUGUAUUUCUAUUAAAUAAAGCAUAAAAUUAUUGUACUUGAACAUAAAUAGAUUUUUCAUAUGUUCCAUUCCAUUAGAAUUGGAGGAAGACUUACCAUGUUGGGUACAGUUAGUCAAUAAUCAGUGAACUAUCUUAAUUUUAUUUUCAUCUUUGUAAACAAAACUAUUACACAUUAAAUGUGGAUAUACAUUACAAACGAAAGAUAGAAAACAGAAUCUAACAAUUUAUGAAAAAAAAUGCACUACAACCAAAAAGGAUUUAACCCAGGAAUGGAAGUAAUCUCCAAUAUUGGAAAGCUUACAGGAACUUAAUAUUAACAGAUGACAGUAGAAACACAAUAUGAUAUUAUCCAUAUUGUAGAAAAGCAUUACACUUCAAUGUACCUUCUUGAUUUGAAAGGAAAAAAGCAAAGCAACCUAGAAAUAAAUGAGAAUAUCUUUAACCUAAUAAAGCACACAUUCUGGAAACCUAUAACAAACUACUGACUUUUUUUUAUCAGUUUGAGCUUGCUUGAUGGAUGUUAUCCCUUCCUCUGUAUCUCUGAAGAUUAAAAAAAACCACUUAUUUUAAAGCUCUUUUAAGAUGUGGAUAUUAUCUCUAGUUCCUUACAUUUGAGUUCCUUUUUUCCUUGGAUCUGUCCACUUAUAUUCUUGAUGCUAGACAAAAUGAAUCUGAUAAGAUUGAAUAAAAUGAAUCUGAGCCCUAUUUACUGUAAAGAUGCAGAUUUCUGGUUUUGAAGUGGUUAUGGGCACCAUUCUAUUCAUGGCCAGUGGCAAGACCUUUGAUCUAGGAAGCUCAAUUGGAAAUAUUCUGGAAUUUCUGUUUGUAAAAAACAAACAAGCAAAAAACAACAGCAAAAAAAAUACGCAAAACAGAAAACAAAAAACAGUGGGUUGCUAGAUUCGGGACUUACAGAGUUUAAUUCCUGUUCUUUCUCCCAUGUUGAACCUAUGGCUUUUGUUCAAAAACCUUCAGCCCUAGGGUCUUAACCCCACUGUGGGUCACAAAAGUUGAGCUGUUCCUAUUUAUGGACUUGACUUUUUUUUUUUUCUAAAUUUCUGACUUCUGGAAAUUUCUUUUCUUGCUUUCAAAUGAAACUGUUUGUUUUAAAGAUGUAUGUAUCCAUAUAUUCAUUUGCUCAUAUUAAUAUAAAUUUAUAAAUCUUUAUUGUAUAUUUCCAAGUGUUUGGAAUGGGGGAAGGGUUUCCAUAGGUGCUUGGCUUUCCACUUUGUCUAGGAACUGAUGACAUGACUUUUUCAUGUUACACAUCUUGUUUGAGGAAGAACUCAAAUUAGAAUCCUGUUCCCUUAACUCAACUUUUAUUAUAAUCAGUUGCCUUGUGGCUUGGAAAGACUUAAUGGUCGCAGUUUGGGACUGAGCUGUAGGUUUUUAGUUAUCCCUUGAGAACUUUUAGAUGAA